rnacentral:rRNA from 1 species
UACGUAGGGGGCAAGCGUUGUCCGGAAUCAUUGGGCGUAAAGAGCGUGUAGGCGGUUCGGUAAGUCGGCUGUGAAAGUCCAGGGCUCAACCCUGGGAUGCCGGUCGAUACUGCCGGACUAGAGUUCGGAAGAGGCGAGUGGAAUUCCCGGUGUAGCGGUGAAAUGCGUAGAUAUCUGGAGGAACACCGGUGGCGAAGGCGGCAUCCUGGACCAACACUGACACUGAUGAGCGAAAGCCAGGGGAGCAAACGGG